rnacentral:lncRNA from 1 species
CUUGGACCAUGAGAAGCUUUUAGCUGGAUCUGUACAUUAGUCAUCGAGUAUUCCCAGUUUGUGGCAUAGAUUAGCUUCUCAGUAAAUAUCUCUUGGAUAAAGGAACAAAUCAUUGCAAGUAUCUUCAUGCAUAUUACUAAAUUGUUCUUUAUCAACCUUGUACUCUAAUUUUAUUAGCAAGAUUUCCAACACCAGCUCACUGCAUGAUCACUGGCCCUAAGAAAUUGAACUUCAACUACUUCAAGACCAUGUUGUUUCACCCAUUUUAUAUCCACAUCACUCUUCUGAAUUUCUGUAGGAGAAAGAUAUCUAGGGUUCCCUCAUGAAAAAGGAGGCAAAAUUCUCUUCAGACAUCAAAAGCUACUAUAAGUGAAUGAAAACCUUUAAAAAUGUUGCCUCCAAUCUUUUAUCUUUGAUUUCCAUGUAAAGAAAUCUGUAACCCAGCUAUGUUGGGUGUUGGUACUUCAGGCUCUCUGGCAACAUGCUUUGGG